rnacentral:rRNA from 1 species
GACGAACGCUGGCGGCGUGCUUAACACAUGCAAGUCGAACGGUAAGGCCCUGCUUUUUUGGUGUGCUCGAGUGGCAAAGGGGUGUGUCACACGUGUAUACCGUGCCCUUGACUUUGAUAUACCUUCAGAACUCUGGGUAUUAUCCCAGAUAAGAGCUCCCGCUGCGUGGUGUGUGUUGGAGAGUUUCGGCGGUUGGGGAUGGACUCGCGGCUUAUCAGCUUGGUGGUGGGGUAGUGGCUUACCAAGGCCUUGACGGGUAGCCGGCCUGAGAGGGUGACCGGCCACAUUGGGACUGAGAUACGGCCCAGACUCCUACGGGAGGCAGCAGUGGGGAAUAUUGCACAAUGGGCGGAAGCCUGAUGCAGCAACGCCGCGUGCGGGAUGACGGCCUUCGGGUUGUAAACCGCUUUCGCUUGUGACGAAGCGAGAGUGACGGUAAUGGGUGAAGAAGCACCGGCUAACUACGUG